ensembl:snRNA U6 U6 spliceosomal RNA
AUGCUCACUUCAGCAGUACAUAUACUAAAACUGGAAUACUACAGAGAAGAUUAGCAUGGCCCUUGUUUAAGAAUGCAUACAAAUUUGUGAUGUGUUCCAUAAUAUU